CAUUCUACCAAAAAAGAAAAGAGAUAAGUAUCAGAUGCCAGCAAGCCACUGAUGACACCAGUAGACAUCAGGAAAACCAAAUCUCUAAGCCACAGUUAUAAGCAAAGAAAAUUUGAAGCCUCUAUUAAAAAAUCAUUCCUUCAACACAUCACUGACCAGGAACGUAAAUGGAUGAGCAGUAAGGACGCAAUGGAUUAAGCUCCUUUACAAGGGAAAGAUUUCUGAACUCC
rnacentral:lncRNA from 1 species